UUAACUAUUUAAUAGUACUCAGACGACACUAAUAUUCAGAGUUUAGGAUCCUCUGGCGGGCACGCCGGACGCGAAUCCGGACAAGCCAGGCUUGCGGCCCGCCAAAGCAACAUUUGAUAAUGAUACACAAGGGUGGGAGAUCUACCCCGAAGGGCAUGAACUCUGUAAUGAUCCUUCCGCAGGUUCACCUACGGAAA
rnacentral:misc_RNA from 1 species